CGCCGCUCCCGGUGCCCCGGCCCGGCCCGGCCCGGCCCGGCUGCCGGCGCCGCUCCUCCCCCGGCCCCGCCCCGGCGGCUUGUAAACACGGCAGUGGCUUCCGCCACGGCGCCGCGACGCCUCGCGAGAGACCGGGUCUCGCGAGACAGGGACGCUCCGGGCCCGCCCCCGCCCCAGGCGACUGUCAAGUACAGGCCUCGCGCUUGGCUCGAGCGCGGUUGUUUUCCAGCUCCCGUGCGCGCGUUCGCGCGCGGGGCGGCGGCCGCCCCUGGGACUCGGUGUGAGGGGAGCGCUGCUGUCCCUGUGGCGGUCCGGUGAAAGUGGGGUCCGGCCCGUUCCUUCAGCCCUAAGCAGGCGUCUGGUUCAGUUCUCUGUGUGACAGGGAGAGGCGGCAGUGCAGUGCGCUGUGUCUCAUCGUUCACUGAGUUGUGUCUGUGAUUGCAUUAUGUGAAAGCAUGACAGUGACAGGGGUACCAACACUGCCACGCGAACAGAUGCGAUCCUCAGACAUUGCAGGCGUCUGUGGUCUCUCUGAGGGAGCCUACGUUCCUGGUGUGCUGCAGCUCUCGGACAUCCCUGCACUAUGGGGACUGGCUCUGCAACACAGCAAUGCUGGGGGGAGUUUUCCUUCACCUCAUGUGGUUAGACAACAUUGUCUCUUCAGGCACAGUACUUCUGUAAGGGAGAAUGUCAGUGCUGCUGGACAGGAGAAUUGGCUGCAGAGUGGCUUUCCAGGAAUUUGAGCAUAUGCUGUUGCAAAAGGUAAGGUUGCAGGUAGCGGCAGCAGCUCACAUUUUCCCAGGGCUUCUCCUCCAGCCCCUGCCUCCAGAAAUCAGAGCAUACCAGAGCAACGGAGUGGCAAAAGCAAUCGUAGAGAUAUCCUUUGUCUUUCCAGGAUAUAGCCUCCACAUUAGAAUAAAAUAGUUCAGUUGGAAGGGACCUUCA
rnacentral:lncRNA from 1 species